rnacentral:rRNA from 1 species
GGAUCGCAUGAUCCUUAGAUGAAAGAUGGUUCUGCUAUCGCUUUUAGAUGGACCCGCGGCGUAUUAACUAGUUGGUGGGGUAACGGCCUACCAAGGUGAUGAUACGUAGCCGAACUGAGAGGUUGAUCGGCCACAUUGGGACUGAGACACGGCCCAAACUCCUACGGGAGGCAGCAGUAGGGAAUCUUCCACAAUGGACGCAAGUCUGAUGGAGCAACGCCGCGUGAGUGAAGAAGGUCUUCGGAUCGUAAAACUCUGUUGUUAGAGAAGAACACGAGUGAGAGUAACUGUUCAUUCGAUGACGGUAUCUAACCAGCAAGUCACGGCUAACUACGUGUC